rnacentral:rRNA from 1 species
UGAGGAAUAUUGCGCAAUAGGGGAAACCCUGACGCAGCAACGCCGCGUGAGUGAAGAAGGCCCUCGGGUCGUAAAGCUCUGUCAAGUGGGAAAAAAGCUUGCUGGUGAACAGCCAGCAAGACUGAUGGUACCAUUGAAGGAAGCACCGGCUAACUCCGUGCCAGCAGCCGCGGUAAUACGGAGGGUGCAAGCGUUGUUCGGAAUUACUGGGCGUAAAGGGCGUGUAGGCGGUGUGGUAAGUCAGAUGUGAAAGCCCUGGGCUUAACCCAGGAAGUGCAUUUGAAACUGCCAUGCUUGAGUAUGGGAGAGGAGAGUGGAAUUCCCAGUGUAGAGGUGAAAUUCGUAGAUAUUGGGAGGAACACCCGUGGCGAAGGCGACUCUCUGGACCAAUACUGACGCUGAGGCGCGAAAGCGUGGGGAGCAAACAGGAUUAGAUACCCUGGUAGUCCACGCUGCAAACGAUGAGCACUAGGUGUAGCGGGUAUUGACCCCUGCUGUGCCGUAGCUAACGCAUUAAGUGCUCCGCCUGGGGAGUACGGCCGCAAGGCUA